rnacentral:rRNA from 1 species
UACGUAGGCAGCAAGCGUUAAUCGGAAUUACUGGGCGUAAAGCGCGCGUAGGCGGCUUUGCAAGUCGGGUGUGAAAUCCCCAAGCUUAACUUGGGAACUGCAUUCGAGACUGCAUUGCUAGAGUAUGGGAGAGGGAAGUGGAAUUUCCGGUGUAGCGGUGAAAUGCGUAGAUAUCGGAAGGAACAUCAGUGGCGAAAGCGACUUCCUGGACCAAUACUGACGCUCAUGUGCGAAAGCGUGGGGAGCAAACAGG